UACGUAGGGUGCAAGCGUUGUCCGGAUUUAUUGGGUUUAAAGGGUGCGCAGGCGGCCCGAUAAGUUAGUGGUGAAAGCGUUCUGCUCAACAGGAUACUCGCCAUUAAUACUGUCAGGCUUGAGUAUGUUCGAGGAAGUUGGAAUGCGUGGUGUAGCGGUGAAAUGCUUAGAUAUCACGCAGAAUAUCAAUUGCGAAGGCAGACUUCUAGGACACAACUGACGCUCAGGCACGAAAGCGUGGGGAGCAAACAGG
rnacentral:rRNA from 1 species